rnacentral:rRNA from 1 species
GACGAACGCUGGCGGCGUGCCUAAUACAUGCAAGUAGAACGCACAGUUUAUACCGUAGCUUGCUACACCAUAGACUGUGAGUUGCGAACGGGUGAGUAACGCGUAGGUAACCUGCCUGGUAGCGGGGGAUAACUAUUGGAAACGAUAGCUAAUACCGCAUAAUAUUAAUUAUUGCAUGAUAAUUGAUUGAAAGAUGCAACUGCAUCACUACCAGAUGGACCUGCGUUGUAUUAGCUAGUAGGUGAGGUAACGGCUCACCUAGGCGACGAUACAUAGCCGACCUGAGAGGGUGCUCGGCCACACUGGGACUGGGACACGGCCCAGACUCCUGCGGGAGGCAGCCGUAGGGAAUCUUCGGCAAUGGACGAAAGUCUGACCGAGUAACGCCGCGUGAGUGAAGAAGGUUUUCGGAUCGUAAAGCUCUGUUGUAAGAGAAGAACGGGUGUGAGAGUGGAAAGUUCACACUGUGACGGUAUCUUACCAGAAAGGGACGGCUAACUACGUG